rnacentral:tRNA from 1 species
GAAAGAAUGGCUGAGUGGUUAAAGGCGGUAGACUGUAAAUUUACUAAUUAAUUAUUUACGUAGGUUCGAAUCCUAUUUCUUUCA